UACAGAGGUCCCAAGCGUUGUUCGGAUUUACUGGGCGUAAAGGGCGCGUAGGCGGCGUGUCAAGUCGAUUGUGAAAUCUCCGGGCUUAACUCGGAACGGCCAAUCGAUACUGACGUGCUAGAGUGCAGAAAGGGCAAUCGGAAUUCCAGGUGUAGCGGUGAAAUGCGUAGAUAUCUGGAGGAACACCGGUGGCGAAGGCGGCAUCCUGGACCGAUAUUGACGCUGAGGCGCGAAAGCCAGGGGAGCAAACGGG
rnacentral:rRNA from 1 species